rnacentral:rRNA from 1 species
AGUGGGGAAUAUUGCACAAUGGACGGAAGUCUGAUGCAGCAACGCCGCGUGCGGGAUGAAGGCCUUCGGGUUGUAAACCGCUUUCGAUCACGACGAAUGUGACGGUAGUGAUUAAAGAAGCACCGGCUAACUACGUGCCAGCAGCCGCGGUGAUACGUAGGGUGCGAGCGUUGUCCGGAUUUAUUGGGCGUAAAGAGCUCGUAGGUGGUUUGUUGCGUCGGGAGUGAAAACACACGGCUUAACUGUGUGCUUGCUUUCGAUACGGGCAGACUUGAGGAAGGUAGGGGAGAACGGAAUUCCUGGUGGAGCGGUGGAAUGCGCAGAUAUCAGGAGGAACACCGGUGGCGAAGGCGGUUCUCUGGACCUUUCCUGACGCUGAGGAGCGAAAGCGUGGGGAGCAAACAGGCUUAGAUACCCUGGUAGUCCACGCCGUAAACGGUGGGCACUAGGUGUGGGAUCCAUUCCACGGGUUCCGUGCCGUAGCUAACGCAUUAAGUGCCCCGCCUGGGGAGUACGGCCGCAAGGCUAAAACUCAAAGGAAUUGACGGGGGCCCGCACAAGCGGCGGAGCAUGCGGAUUAAUUCGAUGCAACGCGAAGAACCUUACCUGGGUUUGACAUGCACCAGAAGCGCUCAGAGAUGGGUGUGCCCUUUGUGGUUGGUGUGCAGGUGGUGCAUGGCUGUCGUCAGCUCGUGUCGUGAGAUGUUGGGUUAAGUCCCGCAACGAGCGCAACCCUCGUCCUAUGUUGCCAGCGGUUCGGCCGGGAACUCAUGGGAGACUGCCGGGGUCAACUCGGAGGGAGGUGGGGAUGAGGUCAAGUCAUCAUGCCCCUUAUGUCCAGGGCUUCACGCAUGCUACAAUGGCUGGUACAAAGUGUUGCGAUCCUGUGAGGGUGAGCGAAUCACGUAAAGCCAGUCUCAGUUCGGAUUGGGGUCUGCAACUCGACCCCAUGAAGUCGGAGUCGCUAGUAAUCGCAGAUCAGCAUUGCUGCGGUGAAUACGUUCCCGGGCCUUGUACACACCGCCCGUCAAGUCAUGAAAGUCGGUAACACCCGAAGCCGGUGGCCUAACCCGUUUGGGGGGGAGCUGUCGAAGGUGGGAUCGGUAAUUAGGACU